rnacentral:rRNA from 1 species
UACGUAGGGGGCAAGCGUUGUCCGGAUUUAUUGGGCGUAAAGAGCGUGUAGGCGGCCUGACAAGUCUGCUGUGAAAACUCGAGGCUCAACCUCGAGAUGUCGGCGGAAACUGUCUGGCUAGAGUCCGGAAGAGGAGAGUGGAAUUCCUGGUGUAGCGGUGAAAUGCGUAGAUAUCAGGAGGAGCACGAUUGCGAAGGCAGCUCGCUGGGACGUAACUGACGCUGAGACGCGAAAGCGUGGGGAGCAAACAGG